rnacentral:rRNA from 1 species
UCAAGUGAAGAAGCGCAUACGGUGGAUGCCUUGGCAGUCAGAGGCGAUGAAAGACGUGGUAGCCUGCGAAAAGCUUCGGGGAGUCGGCAAACAGACUUUGAUCCGGAGAUCUCUGAAUGGGGGAACCCACCUAGGAUAACCUAGGUAUCUUGUACUGAAUCCAUAGGUGCAAGAGGCGAACCAGGGGAACUGAAACAUCUAAGUACCCUGAGGAAAAGAAAUCAACCGAGAUUCCCUUAGUAGUGGCGAGCGAACGGGGAUUAGCCCUUAAGCUUCAUUGAUUUUAGCGGAACGCUCUGGAAAGUGCGGCCAUAGUGGGUGAUAGCCCCGUACGCGAAAGGAUCUUUGAAGUGAAAUCGAGUAGGACGGAGCACGAGAAACUUUGUCUGAACAUGGGGGGACCAUCCUCCAAGGCUAAAUACUACUGACUGACCGAUAGUGAACCAGUACCGUGAGGGAAAGGCGAAAAGAACCCCGGAGAGGGAGUGAAAUAGAACCUGAAACCGUAUGCGUACAAGCAGUGGGAGCCUACUUGUUAGGUGACUGCGUACCUUUUGUAUAAUGGGUCAGCGACUUAUAUUCAGUGGCAAGCUUAACCGUAUAGGGUAGGCGUAGCGAAAGCGAGUCUUAAUAGGGCGUUUAGUCGCUGGGUAUAGACCCGAAACCGGGCGAUCUAUCCAUGAGCAGGUUGAAGGUUAGGUAACACUGACUGGAGGACCGAACCCACUCCCGUUGAAAAGGUAGGGGAUGACUUGUGGAUCGGAGUGAAAGGCUAAUCAAGCUCGGAGAUAGCUGGUUCUCCUCGAAAGCUAUUUAGGUAGCGCCUCAUGUAUCACUCUGGGGGGUAGAGCACUGUUUCGGCUAGGGGGUCAUCCCGACUUACCAAACCGAUGCAAACUCCGAAUACCCAGAAGUGCCGAGCAUGGGAGACACACGGCGGGUGCUAACGUCCGUCGUGGGAAACAACCCAGACCGCCAGCUAAGGUCCCAAAGUUGUGGUUAAGUGGUAAACGAUGUGGGAAGGCUUAGACAGCUAGGAGGUUGGCUUAGAAGCAGCCACCCUUUAAAGAAAGCGUAAUAGCUCACUAGUCGAGUCGGCCUGCGCGGAAGAUGUAACGGGGCUCAAACCACACACCGAAGCUGCGGGUGUCACGCAAGUGACGCGGUAGAGGAGCGUUCUGUAAGCCUGUGAAGGUGAGUUGAGAAGCUUGCUGGAGGUAUCAGAAGUGCGAAUGCUGACAUGAGUAACGACAAUGGGUGUGAAAAACACCCACGCCGAAAGACCAAGGGUUCCUGCGCAACGUUAAUCGACGCAGGGUUAGUCGGUUCCUAAGGCGAGGCUGAAAAGCGUAGUCGAUGGGAAACAGGUUAAUAUUCCUGUACUUCUGGUUACUGCGAUGGAGGGACGGAGAAGGCUAGGCCAGCUUGGCGUUGGUUGUCCAAGUUUAAGGUGGUAGGCUGAAAUCUUAGGUAAAUCCGGGGUUUCAAGGCCGAGAGCUGAUGACGAGUCGUCUUUUAGAUGACGAAGUGGUUGAUGCCAUGCUUCCAAGAAAAGCUUCUAAGCUUCAGGUAACCAGGAACCGUACCCCAAACCGACACAGGUGGUCGGGUAGAGAAUACCAAGGCGCUUGAGAGAACUCGGGUGAAGGAACUAGGCAAAAUGGCACCGUAACUUCGGGAGAAGGUGCGCCGGCUAGGGUGAAGGAUUUACUCCGUAAGCUCUGGCUGGUCGAAGAUACCAGGCCGCUGCGACUGUUUAUUAAAAACACAGCACUCUGCAAACACGAAAGUGGACGUAUAGGGUGUGACGCCUGCCCGGUGCCGGAAGGUUAAUUGAUGGGGUUAGCGCAAGCGAAGAUCGAAGCCCCGGUAAACGGCGGCCGUAACUAUAACGGUCCUAAGGUAGCGAAAUUCCUUGUCUCCGACCUGAAUGGCGUAACGAUGGCGGCGCUGCGAGACUCAGUGAAAUUGAAAUCGCUGUGAAGAUGCAGUGUAUCCGCGGCUAGCGGAAAGACCCCGUGAAAUACUGUAGCUUUGCACUGGACUUUGAGCCUGCGGAAGCGUGGACGAGUUCGCGUGGAGCCAUCCUGAAAUACCACCCUGGGUGAGGUUCAGUGAUUGACUGGGGCGGCUCCUCCUAAAGAGUAACGGAGGAGUACGAAGGUGCGCUCAGACCGGUCGGAAAUCGGUCGUAGAGUAUAAAGGCAAAAGCGCGCUUGACUGCGAGACAGACACGUCGAGCAGGUACGAAAGUAGGUCUUAGUGAUCCGGUGGUUCUGUAUGGAAGGGCCAUCGCUCAACGGAUAAAAGGUACUCCGGGGAUAACAGGCUGAUACCGCCCAAGAGUUCAUAUCGACGGCGGUGUUUGGCACCUCGAUGUCGGCUCAUCACAUCCUGGGGCUGAAGCCGGUCCCAAGGGUAUGGCUGUUCGCCAUUUAAAGUGGUACGCGAGCUGGGUUUAGAACGUCGUGAGACAGUUCGGUCCCUAUCUGCCGUGGACGUUUGAGAUUUGAGAGGGGCUGCUCCUAGUACGAGAGGACCGGAGUGGACGAACCUCUGGUGUUCCGGUUGUCACGCCAGUGGCAUUGCCGGGUAGCUAUGUUCGGAAAAGAUAACCGCUGAAAGCAUCUAAGCGGGAAACUUGCCUCAAGAUGAGAUCUCACUGGGAACUUGAUUCCCCUGAAGGGCCGUCGAAGACUACGACGUUGAUAGGCUGGGUGUGUAAGCGUUGUGAGGCGUUGAGCUAACCAGUACUAAUUGCCCGUGAGGCUUGACCA